ensembl:snoRNA
UUGACAACACCUUCUGUUGAUAAGACUGUGGGGUCUCAUUUGCCGUGGACAUGACCACAAAACAUUUUUCCGACUAGGUUUUCUUUCUGCUACGUUGCUAGCAUUCAUCCUAUUGGGAACAUUA